rnacentral:rRNA from 1 species
UACAGGAGGGGGCAAGCGUUGUUCGGAAUUACUUGGGGUACGGUAAAGGGCGCGUGAGGCGGCCUGCUAAGUCGAAACGUUGAAAUCCCUCGGGCUACAACCCAGGAACUGCGUCCGAUACUGGUUGGCUUGAAUCCGGGAGAGGGAUGUGGAAUUCCAGGUGAUAGCGGUGAAAUGCGUAGAUAUCUGGAGGAACACCGGUGGCGAAGGCGACAUCCUGGACCGGUAUUGACGACUG